rnacentral:rRNA from 1 species
UACGAAGGGGGCUAGCGUUGUUCGGAUUUACUGGGCGUAAAGCGCACGUAGGUGGCCUGUUAAGUCGGGUGUGAAAUCCCUGGGCUCAACCCAGGAAGUGCACUCGAAACUGGCGGGCUUGAGUACUGAAGAGGGUCGCGGAAUUCCCGGUGUAGAGGUGAAAUUCGUAGAUAUCGGGAGGAACACCAGUGGCGAAGGCGGCGACCUGGGCAGAUACUGACACUGAGGUGCGAAAGCGUGGGGAGCAAACAGG